rnacentral:rRNA from 1 species
UACGAAGGGGGCUAGCGUUGUCGUAAUCACUGGGCGUAAAGGGCGCGUAGGCGGACAGUUUAGUCAGAGGUGAAAGCCCAGGGCUCAACCUUGGAACUGCCUUUGAUACUGGCUGUCUUGAGUUCGGGAGAGGUGAGUGGAAUGCCGAGUGUAGAGGUGAAAUUCGUAGAUAUUCGGCGGAACACCAGUGGCGAAGGCGACUCACUGGCCCGAUACUGACGCUGAGGCGCGAAA